CAGUAGCCGCGGGAAUACGAAGGGUGCAAGCGUUAAUCGGAAUUACUGGGCGUAAAGCACGCGUAGGUGGUUUGGUAAGAUGGAUGUGAAAUCCCCGGGCUCAACCUGGGAACUGCAUCCAUAACUGCCUGACUAGAGUACGGUAGAGGGUGGUGGAAUUUCCUGUGUAGCGGUGAAAUGCGUAGAUAUAGGAAGGAACACCAGUGGCGAAGGCGACCACCUGGACUGAUACUGACACUGAGGUGCGAAAGCGUGGGGAGCAAACAGGAUUAGAUACCCCUGUAGUCCCUGUCUCUUAUAC
rnacentral:rRNA from 1 species